GUGGCUUGAUUGUAUAGAAUGACUCCUUCUCUGAAUGAGAGAAUGAUCUGAAACCCUAGGGUCUACACCUUCUUAUAUAGGAUGGUGGAAUGACUAGUAGCCAUUAGAUCAAAACGACCUAAUUGGAUGAAGAUUAGCAAUCCUCACAGACGGUUUAGUCCAUGAUCCAUGCCCUUAGCCCUAGCCCUAUGGAAGGUGGGCUCCCCCCUUGGCCAGGUGCCUUCCCGACUAUUCUAGAUCCUUCUUCUUCAUACAUGGUGUAGAUAUCUCGUUUCUCUCUAUGUAAUCAUGACAUGUGGGCCUCCAUUGGUCGUUUCCUUAUCACCCCUAUAGAAAUAGACAUAAAUCAAAACAUGUGGAAUUCUAUCAAAUAAAACCUUAUUCUAUUGUUGGUGAUUGUUUAAGGCCCUUCUUUCAUUCCCUUAUUGAUAUAAAAAUGAUACUUAUCUACCCCCCCAAGCUUACCCUUUGCUCGUCCCUGAGCAAAGACAAACUCAACGAUGGAUUAGGAGUUGCUGCAAUACUUUCACGCCUUAAGAGUACACAUGCAUUCAAACAAGAACUCUCCUCUAGAUUAGAGUGAACUUGAAUGACCUAAACUUAUCCAUAUUACCUUCCACCAUAGGUCUUGUAACCGUCACUUCGACCUUGAGCAGUUGAAGGAUAGAAUGGUUAAGUCAAGCACUAAAUCCCAAGUCCUUUGAUCAACUUUUAUUCUGGAGUUUUUGCAGGAUUUUUAAAAUAAAACUCAGAGAUCUUUUGUAUGACCCUCUCAAGUCUCUCAUUUGUGGUAUUUGUGUAUCCUCUCCAACGCACUAACGAUGUAUGCCUUCUCUCUUCUCUCAAAGUAUGUGAUAUUUUUGGCAUAGGCAUAGUCAGAUGCCCUCUCUCUCACCCUACAUCUAAUUGGCUUAUGUGGAGCUCAUAGGUGGGAAGACAGCUCAUACAUACUUAUAAACAUAUAUUGUAAAGUCAAACAAGGGAUCCAAAGAAACAAGUCAUACAAUCAAAUCAAGAUGUGCAUGUGUGUAUGGGAUAUAGUGGAAUGUAGCGGAUGAUGGCAAGUGCAUAUGGAAUGGGUGUAUGAUGGUGAUUGUGAAAUCCUAAUUCUACUUCUGCUCCUUGAUAGCACACCUACCUUUAUUGGAAGUUUUGGGGAGAGUUUGGGUUGCUCUAAACACAUCUUUCCUUUCCUUUUCUUUCCUUCUCUUUUUCUUUCUCUUUCUUCUUUUUUUGUUGGGACAUUUGUCCUCUUUCUUUCUCUCUUUUUUUCUUCUUUUCUUUUGGAGAGCACCAAAACCUCCUUUUGGAUAAUUUGAUGGAAGGUAACAAGAAACAAUUGGAGCUUUAUUAAAUGAUAAGGAGUAAAAUGGGUGGAAUAUUUUUGGUGUUUACUCCCAGUGUAGGAGUAGAACAAUUUUGUGUGGAUCUAGAUGGAGUGAAGAUGGAUGCGAACUUUUAGUGUAGAAGUAGAAUAAGUGGGUGAAGUGUACAUGAUCUUGAUUUUAAAUGCAUGACUAGUUCCUAAGGGUCAAAGCUUGACUCUACUCAAUGCUCAUAAGUAGUAAAUAAUACUGAAGUGUUUUUCUAGUCUACAAGGCAUCUAUAUCUCGCUAUGGUAGGAUUUCAAGCUCUCGUCAUACAGGAACUCAUCAUGUAACAUUUUUAUGUUUGUUUUUUACAAAAGAUAAAUUCUCCAAAACUCUAGCAUCUCUAGGAACAAGUAAAUAGUAGCUCAAAACCUUUCCAUAUCAUAUCAGUCAACUACCUAGACUUAAGCUCAAGCAUCACAACCCACAAGUUUCAGGCUUAGAGUAAAUCUUCAAUCAAAAUAGUUGUGUCUAAAACUUGGGAGAAUUCAAGGUUGAAAACUGGGUACUUAAAAAGAAUUAUGGCAGAGCAACUAUUCAUCAUUUCCAUGUGAGUCUAGUCUAAGGUUUGGUUUUAGCUAAAGAAUCCUUGUGUCUUCUCCUUUUUUUUAUUUAUCAAACUCUAAGAUCACACAGAAAUAUAGGGAAAUCUUUAUUUGGGUUUUAAUGGUUAUUCAUAUUUUUAAUUGUUUUGAUAUUCUAAGCAAAUCAAACUCAAAUUUAAAUUCAAAUUAAAGGUGAAAGAAAUACUUAGCUAGAUAAACGAGGGUAUGCUCUCUCCCAAGCUGGAUGUUGACGUAGUCUGUUGGUGUAGCGGACUCACAGCGAAUAUGUCUUCUUUAGUCAUCAGCUUGUCUACGAAGGAUCGUGAGGAUGCUACACUAGCUUGGAAACAAAAAAUUCAACCUCAUAAAAUAUGAUAAACUGCUAGUUAUCGAUCACGGGAUUACCACUAGACAUGCAGGUGUAGCGGGAGCGACUCGGUGUAGUUGUGCGCAUAGUAGCAGUGCCGUGCAGUUGCGUGGUCGUCCACCACGUCAAUCCCUCUCACACGGUUCGUCCUUGUGCUCUAGAUGCAGCACCUCUGAGGUAUCCCACAUGUGCAGGAAAGAAGCGUUGCACCUCUGGACUGCUAGGUCCACGAGGAGCAAUAAGCGUGAGCGUGGGUGAGCAGCGACGGCUGCCUAAUGGCGUGAGAUCACCCUAGCCGCGCCUCCUCCCUCUUUAAUAUAGGCGUCCUCCAAUCAGCCCUAAGUUGGAGGCCCAAUUAGAAAACCCUAAGCCUUGUCUAAUUCGGGUCAAACCCGAAUUAGGCUUCUAGCCCCUUAAGCGUGCCACCCUGUGGGUUCACGUACAUAUAGACAUGGGCCGAGUACUCCUACUUGCCAAUUGUUGACAGCAGCCUCUAGAAAGGCAUGACAACUCCUAUACGCACACAAAGAUCAUAUUAGACGAACCACUACAUACACAUACAUGUUAUUCCCUUGCC
rnacentral:lncRNA from 1 species